rnacentral:other from 2 species
AGUUAUUCGCGUAGGGUACAGAGGUAAGAUGUUCUAUCUUUCAGACCUUUUACUUCACGUAAUCGGAUUUGGCUGAAUAUUUUAGCCGCCCCAGUCAGUUUAUGACUGGGGCGUUUUUUA